CAACUCGACUCCAUGAAGUCGGAAUCGCUAGUAAUCGUGGAUCAGAAUGCCACGGUGAAUACGUUCCCGGGCCUUGUACACACCGCCCGUCACACCAUGGGAGUGGGUUGCAAAAGAAGUAGGUAGCUUAACCUUCGGGAGGGCGCUUACCACUUUGUGAUUCAUGACUGGGGUGAAGUCGUAACAAGGUAACCGUAGGGGAACCUGCGGUUGGAUCACCUCCUUACCUUAAAGAAGC
rnacentral:rRNA from 4 species